rnacentral:rRNA from 1 species
AUUGAACGCUGGCGGCAUGCCUUACACAUGCAAGUCGAACGGCAGCACGGGAGCAAUCCUGGUGGCGAGUGGCGAACGGGUGAGUAAUAUAUCGGAACGUGCCCAGUGAUGGGGGAGUAGCCCGGCGAAGCCGGAUUAAUACGCAUACGACCUACGGGUGAAAGCAGGGGAGUCGCAAGACCUUGCGUCAUUGGAGCGGCCGAUAUCAGAUUAGCUUG